UACGUAGGGUGCAAGCGUUAAUCGGAAUUACUGGGCGUAAAGCGUGCGCAGGCGGCUUUGCAAGACAGAUGUGAAAUCCCCCGGGCCCAACCUGGGAACUGCAUUUGUGACUGCAAGGCUAGAGUACGGUAGAGGGGGAUGGAAUUCCGCGUGUAGCAAUGAAAUGCGUAGAUAUGCGGAGGAACACCGAUGGCGAAGGCAAUCCCCUGGACCUGUACUGACGCUCAUGCACGAAAGCGUGGGGAGCAAACAGG
rnacentral:rRNA from 1 species